rnacentral:ribozyme from 13 species
AUAAUACACACAUAUAUAUAGAAAGAAAGAGAAAGAAAAAAGGACCAAUAUAUUCUAAUUUUUUUUUCUUCCUGUUUUUUUUUUUU